rnacentral:misc_RNA from 1 species
GUCGAAGUGCAAAACGCCAAAAAGGAGCUGGAAUCAAAACAAGAAGAGUAUAAAAAAUUGCUCGGCGCGAAAAAUCCAGAGUUCGAAAACGAACUUUCCUACAACUAUCGGGCAUUGCAGAUCUUCGAUCUACUGUCGCUUUAUUUUUGCUGCGACGGGUAUGCCUCGGAAAAGAACUUCAAGGAGUAUACGAUUGCGCCGAUCCGGGUUGCUUACGACAGUAACGAAGAGGCUGAGCUGAAGAUUACGCCUAAUGGCGCCGGCUCGGUUAAAAUGACCCCCUACCCUUUUGAUAUGAGUCCGCUGCAGUUCUCUGUCCGCGCGCGGCUCAUGACUCCGACGAAGGGACAAUCCGCCGAAGCCGGCCUCGAG